rnacentral:lncRNA from 1 species
AUGGUUUGUCCUGCAGUUGUGGUUAAUUGUCCUGCAGUAGCAGUGCUGGGUCCCUCUGUUGUUGCUGAUUUUGCAGUUGGCAUUGUUGGUACUGCAGUUUUUGUUGAGAGUCCUUCAGUUGUAGCUCUUGUUCCUGCAGUUGUUGUUAGUUCAGCAUUUGUCGAUGUUGGUCCUGCAGUUGUUGAUGUUCCUGGAGUUGUACAUCUUGUUCCAGCAAUUGUAGUUGUGGGUUCAGAAGUUGUUGUUGAUGGUCCUGCAGUUUUUGAUACAAGUCCUUCAGUUGUUGUGGUUCCCCCUGUAUUAGUUAAUUUUUCUGCAGUAGAAGGGGUAGGUCCUUCAUUGGUUCUUGGUUCUGCAAUUGGUGUGGUUGGUCCUUCAAUUGUUGUUGUGAGUACUGCAGUUGUAACUCUUGUUCGAGCAAUUGUUCUUGUUGGUUCAAUUGUUGGCGUUAUUGGUCUGGCAAAUGUUAUUCCUCCUCUAGUUGUUGUUUUUGGUACUGCAACAUUUGGUCCUGCGGAUGGGGUUGUUUGUUGGGCAGUUGGCGUUGUUGGUCCACUAGUUGUUUUUCUUCCUUCAGUUGUUGUUGGUCCCCCCGUAUUAGUUAAUGCUCCUGCAGAAGCAGUGGUAUGUCCUUCUUUUGAUGUUGGUUCUGCAGUUGGUGUUGUUGGUCCUGCAGUUUUUGUUGUGGGUCCCGCACUAUUAGUUAAUAUUGUUGCAGUAGCAGUGGUAGGUCCUGCAAUUGUUGUUGGUUCAACAGUUGUUGUUGGUCCUGCAGUUGUGGAUGUUCCUGUAGUUGUAGCUCUUGUUCCAGUAUUUGUAGUUGUUGGUUCAGAAGUUCUCAUUAUUGCUCCUGCAGUUGUUAUUUUUGGCCCUGCAGUAGUUUGUCCUGCGGAUGGUGGUGUUUGUUCAGCAGUUGGCGUUGUUGUUCCUGCAGUUGUUAUGGGUCCCCAGGUAGGAGUUAAUGGUCCUGCAGUAGCAGUGCUGCGUCUUUCUUUUGUUGUUGGAUCUGCAGUUGGUGUUUUUGGUCCUUCAGUUGUUGUUGUGAAUACUGCAGUUGUAGCUCCUGUUCGAGCAAUUGUUCUUGUUGCUUCAACAGUUUGCGUUGUUGGUCCAGCAAUUGUUAUUUCUCCUGCCGUUGUUGUUGUUGGCACUGCAGUAGUUGGUCCUGCGGAUAGGGUUGUUUGUUGGGCAGUUGGCAUUCUUGGUCCUGCAGUUGUUGUUAUUCCUUCAGUUGUUGUGGGUCGCCCCAUAUUGGUUAAGGGUCCUGCAGUAGCAGUGGAAUUUCCUUUUGAUGUUGGUUCAGGAGUUGUCGUUGGUCCUGCAGUUUUGGUUGUGAGUCCUUCAGUUGUAACUGUUGUUCCAGCAGUUUUUUUUUGUUGGUUCAACAGUUGGCGUUGUUGGUCCUGCAGUUUUUGUUGUUCCUCCAGUUG